UGCAAGUCGAGCGGUAACAGAAAGAAAGCUUGCUUUCUUUGCUGACGAGCGGCGGACGGGUGAGUAAUGCCUGGGAAUAUGCCUUAGUGUGGGGGAUAACUAUUGGAAACGAUAGCUAAUACCGCAUAACGUCUUUGUUCAUUACGAGCGGGACCAAAGAGGGGGACCUUCGGGCCUCUCGCGCUAAGAUUAGCCCAGGUGGGAUUAGCUAGUUGGUGAGGUAAAGGCUCACCAAGGCAACGAUCCCUAGCUGGUCUGAGAGGAUGAUCAGCCACACUGGAACUGAGACACGGUCCAGACUCCUACGGGAGGCAGCAGUGGGGAAUAUUGCACAAUGGGGGAAACCCUGAUGCAGCCAUGCCGCGUGUAUGAAGAAGGCCUUCGGGUUGUAAAGUACUUUCAGUCGUGAGGAAGACAUUGUAGUUAAUAGCUGCAGUGUUUGACGUUAGCGACAGAAGAAGCACCGGCUAACUCCGUGCCAGCAGCCGCGGUAAUACGGAGGGUGCGAGCGUUAAUCGGAAUUACUGGGCGUAAAGCGCAUGCAGGCGGUCUGUUAAGCAAGAUGUGAAAGCCCGGGGCUCAACCUCGGAACCGCAUUUUGAACUGGCAGACUAGAGUCUUGUAGAGGGGGGUAGAAUUUCAGGUGUAGCGGUGAAAUGCGUAGAGAUCUGAAGGAAUACCGGUGGCGAAGGCGGCCCCCUGGACAAAGACUGACGCUCAUGCAAGUCGAUGCAAGUCGAUGCAAGUCGAUGCAAGUCGAG
rnacentral:rRNA from 1 species